UACGUAGGGCGCAAGCGUUAUCCGGGAAUUAUUGGGCGUAAAGAGCUCGUAGGCGGUUUGUCGCGUCUGCCGUGAAAGUCCGGGGCUCAACUCCGGAUCUGCGGUGGUACGGCAGACUAGAGUGAUGUAGGGAGACUGGAAUUCUGGUGUAGCGGUGAAAAUGCGCAGAUAUCAGGAGGAACACCGGUGGCGAAGGCGGAUCUCUGGGCCAUUACUGACGCUGAGGAGCGAAAGCGUGGGGAGCGAACAGG
rnacentral:rRNA from 1 species